rnacentral:rRNA from 1 species
GAGUUUGAUCCUGGCUCAGGACGAACGCUGGCGGCGUGCCUAAUACAUGCAAGUAGAACGCACAGUUUAUACCGUAGCUUGCUACACCAUAGACUGUGAGUUGCGAACGGGUGAGUAACGCGUAGGUAACCUGCCUGGUAGCGGGGGAUAACUAUUGGAAACGAUAGCUAAUACCGCAUAAUAUUAAUUAUUGCAUGAUAAUUGAUUGAAAGGUGCAAUUGCACCACUACCAGAUGGACCUGCGUUGUAUUAGCUAGUAGGUGAGGUAACGGCUCACCUAGGCGACGAUACAUAGCCGACCUGAGAGGGUGAUCGGCCACACUGGGACUGAGACACGGCCCAGACUCCUACGGGAGGCAGCAGUAGGGAAUCUUCGGCAAUGGACGAAAGUCUGACCGGGCAACGCCGCGUGAGUGAAGAAGGUUUUCGGAUCGUAAAGCUCUGUUGUAAGAGAAGAACGGGUGUGAGAGUGGAAAGUUCACACUGUGACGGUAUCUUACCAGAAAGGGACGGCUAACUACGUGCCAGCAGCCGCGGUAAUACGUAGGUCCCGAGCGUUGUCCGGAUUUAUUGGGCGUAAAGCGAGCGCAGGCGGUUAGAUAAGUCUGAAGUUAAAGGCUGUGGCUUAACCAUAGUACGCUUUGGAAACUGUUUAACUUGAGUGCAGAAGGGGAGAGUGGAAUUCCAUGUGUAGCGGUGAAAUGCGUAGAUAUAUGGAGGAACACCGGUGGCGAAAGCGGCUCUCUGGUCUGUAACUGACGCUGAGGCUCGAAAGCGUGGGGAGCGAACAGGAUUAGAUACCCUGGUAGUCCACGCCGUAAACGAUGAGUGCUAGGUGUUAGGCCCUUUCCGGGGCUUAGUGCCGCAGCUA